ensembl:ncRNA ZK1025.17 ncRNA
GCUUUGGCUUAGGCUUAGGCUUAGGCUUAGGCUUAGGCUUAGGCUUAGGCUUAGGCUUAGGCUUAGGCUUAGGCUUAGGCUUAGGCUUAGGCCAAGGUUUAGGCUUGGGC